CUUUUAUGGAGAGUUUGAUCCUGGCUCAGGACGAACGCUGGCGGCGUGCCUAAUACAUGCAAGUCGAGCGGGGUUAUUCCUUCGGGGAUAG
rnacentral:rRNA from 1 species